CUACAACCUUCACAAUGGAGAACCCUCAAUUUGAAAUCCCUAAAAAUUUUGGUAUUUUAGAAAUUGGAGAAUAUAUCAUCCUCAAUUUAGUGAAGAAAUGAAUAGCCUAGAAAAUUUGGACAUUCAUGAUAGUACUGUAAUUAAUCAGCUAUCUCCAACAAUUGGAUAUCUUACUAGCCUAAGAGAAAUUUCGAUGAUAAGCUCCAUGGAGCUUUAAACUCUUCCAAGUACAAUUUAUGGUUAAGUAAUCUUACUUCUUUACUUGUUCUUGAUUCUGAUCUUUCAACCUUUCCUUCCUUAAAUAAUCCUUCUUCAGCUUCCUUAUAUUCCUACCUAACAGAAAUAAGCAUUUUCAAUUGUAAGAUAACAAAUUUGGAUUUCUUAGAAACAAUGGUUCAUGUUGCCCCUUUUUUGAAAGAGUUGAACUUAUCUAUAAACAACUUUUGUACACUACCCUAAUGUAUUAUUAAUUUUAAAUCAUUGGAAUAUCUUAUUAUGAGGGAUUGUACGUUGCUUGAAGAAAUUCCAAAGGUUCCAGAAGGAGUAGUUUGUAUGGAUGCUGGAGGGUGCGUAUUAUUGACCAGAUUUCCUGACUACAUACCUGAUUUCAUAUCUUGUGAGGGUAAUUUGGAAGAUGAAAAAAGUUUUGGAGAAUUCAAACAACUCAUAUUAAUGAAUUAUGAUAUUCCAGAUUGGUGCAGGUACAAGAGUAUGAACAACUCAAUAACAUUUAAUUUUCCAACUGAUUGUCUAAGUGGGAAAAGGAAGGCUUUUAUUGUUCCUUGUGUCAAAUUUCAAUCUAAUACUGGUCACACGAGGUGUUGGCUUCAUUGUACCGUGUUUGUCAACGAUAUUGAAGUAUGGUGUCGAAUGUUAAUGCCCAGAUCUGACAUAUUGUGUCUAGAUUUGAAGUAAUAUCAUCAGGUGAGUAUCUAUGGAUGCCAGUAGUUGAUAUUAAGUCCUCAAGAGAUAUUUUGGAUAGAGUUACAGUGUUAUUUGAUGUUCGUGUUCCAAAGAGGCAACUACUUCAUGUUUGUGAUCCAAAGUGGGAAGAUGAAGUAAGUAUAAAAAUGUAUGGUGUUCACGUGAUCAUGGAGGAAUAAUUUGGAGAAGAAAUUCCCAAAGUUGAAGUUUACUCUUUUGCACUUCUAAUUUUUAUUUUUAUAAAUAUAAUGUUAUAUGAAGACAACAUUGUUAAUCAAGUGAAAACAGGAAUUGAUAUUUUAGUUUAUAUAUAUAUUUUUAAUUUCUAUUA